GGUACAGUAGCUCAGUGGCAGAGCAUGUGGCUAGCAGGCACGAGGCCCUGGGGGUUCCAUCCCACCACUACCA
rnacentral:tRNA from 1 species